GGUGAGAUGGCCGAGUGGUUAUGGCGCUGCGUUCAGGAAACCUGAGCAAAAUUCGCAGUGGAGCAAUCCGCGUGGGUUCGAGUCCCACUCUCAUCA